AUACUUACCUGGACGGGGUUAAUGGGCAAUCAUGAAGGCCCAUGGCCUAGGAAGGUGACCUCCAUUGCACUUAGGAGGGGUGCUUGCUUAUGGUCUCCCUAAAUUGGGAGAGCCAACGUCAUAAUUUGUGCCAGUGGGGGCCUGCGUUCGCGCGGCCCCUGC
rfam:Prunus persica cultivar Lovell chromosome G1, whole genome shotgun sequence.